CAAGGCUUGACAUCGCCGGAAAUCCCGCAGAGAUGCGGGGUCCUUUUUGGGCCGGUGAAGGUGGUGCAUGGCUGUCGUCAGCUCGUGUCGUGAGAUGUUGGGUUAAGUCCCGCAACGAGCGCAACCCUCGUUCCAUGUUGCCAGCACGUGAUGGUGGGGACUCAUGGGAGACCGCCGGGGUCAACUCGGAGGAAGGUGGGGAUGACGUCAAGUCAUCAUGCCCCUUAUGUCUUGGGCUGCAAACAUGCUACAAUGGCCGGUACAGUGGGCUGCGAUACCGUGAGGUGGAGCGAAUCCCUUAAAGCCGGUCUCAGUUCGGAUCGAAGUCUGCAACUCGACUUCGUGAAGUCGGAGUCGCUAGUAAUCG
rnacentral:rRNA from 1 species